UGCUGUGAGCUCGAUGAGUAGGGCGGGACACGUGGUAUCCUGUCUGAAUAUGGGGGGACCAUCCUCCAAGGCUAAAUACUCCUGACUGACCGAUAGUGAACCAGUACCGUGAGGGAAAGGCGAAAAGAACCCCGGCGAGGGGAGUGAAAAAGAACCUGAAACCGUGUACGUACAAGCAGUGGGAGCCCCACCACUAAGCCAGUGGUGAACUCCACAUACGCAUCCUUUGCUGAGGAUGCGGUUAACGGAGCGAAAGCGACGUUCAACCGCAAAAGAAGCAGAGGGGGCUUAGUGGUGGGGUGACUGCGUACCUUUUGUAUAAUGGGUCAGCGACUUAUAUUCUGUAGCAAGGUUAACCGAAUAGGGGAGCCGGAGGGAAACCGAGUCUUAAUUGGGCGUUAAGUUGCAGGGUAUAGACCCGAAACCCGGUGAUCUAGCCAUGGGCAGGUUGAAGGUUGGGUAACACUAACUGGAGGACCGAACCGACUAAUGUUGAAAAAUUAGCGGAUGACCUGUGGCUGGGGGUGAAAGGCCAAUCAAACCGGGAGAUAGCUGGUUCUCCCCGAAAGCUAUUUAGGUAGCGCCUCGUGAAUUCAUCUCCGGGGGUAGAGCACUGUUUCGGCUAGGGGGCCAUCCCGGCUUACCAACCCGAUGCAAACUGCGAAUACCGGAGAAUGUUAUCACGGGAGACACACGGCGGGUGCUAACGUCCGUCGUGAAGAGGGAAACAACCCAGACCGCCAGCUAAGGUCCCAAAGUCAUGGUUAAGUGGGAAACGAUGUGGGAAGGCCCAGACAGCCAGGAUGUUGGCUUAGAAGCAGCCAUCAUUUAAAGAAAGCGUAAUAGCUCACUGGUCGAGUCGGCCUGCGCGGAAGAUGUAACGGGGCUAAACC
rnacentral:rRNA from 1 species